AAGUCGUAACAAGGUUUCCGUAGGUGAACCUGCGGAAGGAUCAUUACCGAAUUUAAUUCCGGAGUUGUAGCUGGCCUAACAGGCAUGUGCACACUCCGGUAAUCCAAAUUCUACACCUCUGUGCACUAUUCAUAGGAUGGUUGAAGCUGCUUUACUCACAGUGAAGUGGUUGAGAUCGUUCUGUGCUUAUACAUUAUACGCUUCAGUAAAGAAUGUAACUCGCGUUUGACGCAAAUAAAUACAACUUUCAGCAACGGAUCUCUUGGCUCUC
rnacentral:misc_RNA from 1 species